ensembl:rRNA 5S_rRNA 5S ribosomal RNA
GCCAGCAGCCAUAUCACCCUGCAGCCCAAGACUGGUUGCCCACUGAAGCUAAGCAGGGUUGAGCCUGGUCAGUACCUGGAUGGGAGACCUCCUGGGAAAACUAGGUUGCUGCUGGAA